rnacentral:rRNA from 1 species
AGUUCGAUCAUGGCUCAGAUUGAACGCUGGCGGGAUGCUUUACACAUGCAAGUCGAACGGCAGCACGGACUUCGGUCUGGUGGCGAGUGGCGAACGGGUGAGUAAAUGUAUUCUGGAACGUGCCUAGUGGGGAUAACUACGCGAAAGCGUAGCUAAUACCGUACACGCCCUUCGGGGAAAGCGGGGACCUUCGGGCCUCGCACUAUUAGAGCGGCCGAUAUCGGAUUAGCUAGUUGGUGGGGUAACGGCUCAUCAAGGCGACGAUCCGUAGCUGGUUUGAGAGGACGACCAGCCACACUGGGACUGGAGACACGGCCUGUGACUCCUACGGAGGCAGCAGUGGGGAAUUUUGGACAAUGGGGAAACCCUGAUCCAGCUACUCCUAUGCGAUGAAGGCCUUCGGGUUGUAAAGCACUUUGGCAGGAAAGAAACGGCACGUGAUAAUACCCCGUGCAACUGACGGUACCUGCAAUAAGCACCGGCUAACUACGUGCCAGCAGCCGCGGUAUUGCCGUAGGUGCAAGCGUUAAUCGGAAUUACUGGCGAAGUGCGCAGGCGGUUCGGAAAGAAAAAGAUGUGGAAUCCCAGAGCUUAACUUUGGAACCGGGCAUUUUUAACUGAGCCAGGAGUGUGUCAGAGGGAGGUGGAAUUCGGGCGUGUAGCAGUGAAAUGCAUAUGCGGAGGAACACCGAUGGCGAAGGCAGCCUCCUGGGAUAACACUGACGCUCAUGCACGAAAGCGUAAGCAACAGGAUUAGAUACCCUGGUAAACCACGCCCUAAACGAUGUCAACUAGCUGCUGGGGCUUUCGCCUUGGUAGCGCAGCUAACGCGAAGUUGACCGCCUGGGGAGUACGGUCGCAAGAUUAAAACUCAAAGGAAUUGGACGGGACCCGCGCAUGCCAGGAUGAUGCGGGAUUAAUUCGAUGCAACGCGAAAAACCUUACCUACCCUUGACAUGUCUGGAAUCCCGAAGAGAUCGGGGACAGUGCUCGCAAGAGAACCGAACACAGGUGCUAUGGUUGUCGUCAGCCCGUGUCGUGAGAUGUUGGGUUAAGUCCCGGCAACGAGCGCAAACCCUUGUCAUUAGUUGUUACGAAAGGGCACCUAAUGAGACUGCCGGUGACAAACCGGAGGAAGGGGGAUGACGUCAAGUCCUCAUGGCCCUUAUGGGUAGGGCUUCUACACGUCAUACAAUGGUCGGGACAGUGGUCGCCAACCCGCGAGGGGGGAGCUAACUUGUGAAACCCGAUCGUAGUCCGGAUCGCAGUCUGCAACUCGACUGCGUGAAGUCGGAAUCGCUAGUAAUCGCGGAUCAGCAUGUCGCGGUGAAUACGUUCCGGGUCUUGUACACACCGCCCGUCACACUGGGAGUGGGUUUUACCAGGUAAAGUUAGCCUAACCGUAAGGAGGUGGCGAUUACUACGGUAGGAUUCAUGACUGGGGUGAAGUCGUAACAAGGUAG